UGGGGGAUAUUGCACAAUGGGCGCAAGCCUGAUGCAGCGACGCCGCGUGGGGGAUGAAGGCCUUCGGGUUGUAAACAUCUUUUGCUCUGAACAAGGCGCACUUUGGGGUGUGUUGAGUGUAGGGGUUGAUUAGCGCCGGCUAACUACGUGCCAGCAGCCGCGGUAAUACGUAGGGCGCGAGCGUUGUCCGGAAUUAUUGGGCGUAAAGGGCUUGUAGGUGGCUGGUUGCGUCUGUCGUGAAAGCUCAUGGCUUAACUGUGGGUUUGCGGUGGGUACGGGCUGGCUUGAGUGCAGUAGGGGAGGCUGGAAUUCCUGGUGUAGCGGUGGAAUGCGCAGAUAUCAGGAGGAAUACCGGUGGCGAAGGCGGGUCUCUGGGCUGUUACUGACACUGAGGAGCGAAAGCAUGGGGAGCGAACAGG
rnacentral:rRNA from 1 species